rnacentral:lncRNA from 1 species
CAUCAAUUGUAGACUGGAUAAAGAAAAUGUGGCACAUGUACACCAUGGAAUACUAUGCAGCCAUGAAGAAGAAUGAGUUCAUGACCUUUGCAGAGACAUGGAUGAAGCUGGAAACCAUCAUUCUCAGCAAACUAACACAGGAACAGAAAACAAAACGUCGCAUGUUCUCACUCAUAAGUGGGAGUUGAACAAUGAGAACACAUGGACACAGAGAGGGGAAUAUCACACACUGGGGCCUGUCAGGAGGUUGGAGGCAAGGGGAGGGAGAGCAUUAGGAGAAAUACCUAAUGCAUUCAGGGCUUAAAACCUAGAUGACAGGUUGAUAAGUGCAGCAAACCACCAUGGCACAUGUAUGCCUAUGUAACAAACCUGCACGUUCUGCACGUGUAUCCCAGAAUGUAAAGUAAAAGAAAAAAAAAAAAAGAAAGAAAAAAGACAUGGGUUUUUUUUUCUUGCAUGCAGACUCAAACUAAAAUACUGGCUCUUCCUGUGUCUCUAGCUUGCCAACUCACUCUGCAAGUCUUGGGACUUGUCAGCCUCCAUAAUUAUUUAAGCUGAUUUCUUAUAAUAAAUCUCUCUUCAUCUUCAAAGCCUGCAACAGUGGGCUGUAGUCCCUUUCACAUGUUGAAUCUCUUUCACUUCCUUUUCUGAUGAAUCUUUCUUUGCUUACAAAUGGAGAAAGUUCUCUGCUUUUAAGGCCUUAUGUGAUUAGAUUGGUUCCUCCCAAUAAUCUCCCUAUUUUAAAGUCCAAAGCCUUAAUUUCAUCUGCAAAGUCUCUUUCCCUAUAUAAUACAGCAUAACCAAGGUGUAUCAACAGAGAGUAUGUCACAGGAGCCAAGAUUCUGAUUACCCGCAACUUAGUAUCUCAAGAGUAGCCAGCUACACUACCCUUCUUGUAGCUCCUUGUUCAACCCCAGCCAAAGGGGAAACCCUGAAGAAACAAGUGAAGAAAUAUAAAAUGGAAAACACCCAAAGCACAUGCUGAGGUGAGGAUCAAAUAAGGAUGGUUGAAGAGUUCAGCGGAGAGUGUUGAAACUUUGCAUACAAAACAGGCGGUGUAGAGCCACAUCCCUACAGCCCUUGUCUAAUGUUUGCAUAAUCCCUUCUCAGAGGAGGCCACCGCAGUCCCUUAGCAGUCACAGAUGUUAUAGAGAGCAGCCAGGAGCAAAAAACACAGUCCUCAUUCUUAAAGGACCAGCCUAGGAAGAGAAUGGGAAGACAGAGCAGAGGAAUGAAUCAGAAACCAGCAAGACAUAGGAGAGAAGUGGUGCCAGAUUGGGAAUGAUGUUUACUGAGUCUUCGAUGUCUUUUCUUUUUUUCUUUUAAUUUUUUUUUUGGUGAUGUAUAAAUUUAAAUGCACAGAGUGAGCGUGAAUAUGAGCGUAUAUGACAUCCCAAUUAACCUUGGUGACUCUCUAGCACUGAGAAGCCACUUUAACCUUAAUGCCAGCUGGUGACCUUGCCCUGAAUCUUCAGAAAUUGCUCCCCUAGCUGGACCGGGUGUCCUCAGCUGCCAUGAAGUUGCUGGGGCAAACUGGUAGGAGACAGUGGAGCUGAAAGAGGAGAGGGGAUGAUAGACAGAAAUCUUGGAGCAAUAUCCACGUUCUUUAACUCAAAUUGACUACAUAAACUAGAAGCUUGAAAGUAGAGGUCAAUGUGUUCUCAGGACAGUUAUUAAAAUUGUAUUCUCAGUCUUCUCCCAUCCAGUAUUGCAAAGCUGUUUUUGUAGUAAAGAAAGCAAUUCAUGUUUCAUAUCUGCUGUCAUUAUAAAAGAAGUCACAGCUACAAGUCUAGACUUUUAUGUUUAUUUCAAAAGGACUUGUCCUUAUGAAAUAAUCAUUGUUUUAUGCCAGCUCUGCUUUAUUGAUCUACUAUGUACCUGAAAUUAUUUAGAUCAGGGAAAUAAGACUUUCUUCUCUUUCCAGCAUGCAGGGAAAAAUUGUCCUAGACUCCUGAGAAUAUUAUAAACAUCUGAUAUUAGAAACACAUUGGAGUUAUAUUUUUUAUUUAUUAAGUUCAGUUUCAUAUAUGCCCCAUAUUGAAAGAUUUUACUACUUCCCUCAUUAAGAAAAAAAGUUAUACCUUCAAUUGUGAGUCAUUUUUGUUUCUACAAAGUAAGAAGGAAAAAGAGAGGGCAAAGUGAAGGAGGAGGAAAAGGAGGAAGAGGAAGAAGAGGGGAGUAAAGAGAAGGGAGAGGGAGUAAAGAAAGGGAGGAGGGAAAGAUGCAAGGAGAGAAAGAGACAGGGAAGGAAAAAGAAAAAGGAGAAGAAAUUAUUUAUAGUUAUCUGGAUUUUAUAGUUCUCCUGUGAGCUGGUGGUCCAUAUGAGGAAGCAAAGGGGUUAAAAAAUUUAUGGCAAUGAUUGUGGAGUCACCAGUUAGUGAGCACUGGCCUGGAGGGAAAAUUCUUAUAUUCUCUAGCCUCAGCUUUUAAUGGCACUUCCAUGAUUCAUUGUCUUAUAACCAAAUAAUUUUGGGGGAAGUUCAUGGCAGAUGUCCUUGGCUAUAAAUGAUUUUUAUAUGCUCUAGGAAUCACUUCUUUUUAUCUGUCUUACAGAUGAAAAUGUAAAGUGUAGCUUUCAGGUGCUAAUGUACUACAUUCGUUAAUAUUGAUAGGAAGGUAAGCCCUCUGUGACUCAAUAUUAACCUUUAAUAUUUAUUUUAUUACUUAUGCAAGAUAAUUUAAAGACCCAUAUUUUCUGUUGAUGAGUGUGAAUUGCACUUUUUUCUUGCUUUGCCUUCCUAAGACUAUCUGGCUGUUGUCAGAAAGGGUAGCCAGUUCUAUUGGGGUGUGAGAAGGAGGCCUCUGCAUGAGAAGCCCGUGUUGGCUGAUUUAUGUUUAAUGCUUUCUCCAAACACUACAAUUCACCCAAAUUAGAUUUUGAACAUAUUUUUUGCCCGAUGUGAAGUAUCUCCUUUUUUUUGGUUACUUGCUGGAACAGAAUUCUAAACUGUUACCCUUUCAAUGUCUCCCAAUGUUUCUUCAGAGGUUUUUUAUGUAUUGAACAAAAAGUUUUCAAUCCAGGUCAGAAGGAUCAUUUCUUAUGUCAUCUCCUAAGAGUUUUAUAAUUUUGCAUUUUACUCUAAGUCUUUAAUACACCUGAAAUUGAUUCUUAUUUAUGGUAUAAGGUAAACAUCUAAUUCCAUUUUUUAAAUGACCCAUUUAAAAGUUAGUCCCAGAUUAUUUAUUGAAAAUUUGCAGACCCAGAAAUAAAGCCACACAUCUACCAGCAUCUGAUCUUUGAUGAAGUUAACAAAAAUAAGCAAUGAGGAAAGGACACCCACCCAAUAAGUGGGCGCUGGGAUUACUGGCUAGCCAUAUGCAGAAGAAUGAAACUAGAUGCCUAUCUAUCACCAUAUGCAAAAAUUAACUCAAGAUAGAUUAAAGACUUAAGCUUCAGACCUAAAAUUAUAAAAAUCCUAGAAGAAAACCUAGGAAAUACCCUUCAGGACAUUGGCCUUAACAAAGAAUGUAUGACUAAGUCCCCAAAAGCAAUUGCAACGCAAAUGAACUUUGAGGCCGUGUGCGGUGGCUCACACCUGUAAUCCCAGCAUUUUGGGAGGCCAAGGUGGGUGGAUCACCUGAGGUCAGGAGCUCAAGACCAUCCUGGCCAACAUGGUGAAACCCUGUCUCUACUAAAAAUACAAAAAUCAGCCGGGAGUGGUAGUGCAUGCCUGUAAUCCCAGCUACUCGGGAAGCUGAGGUGGGAGAAUCGCUUGAACCUGGGAGGCAGAGGUUGCAGUGAGCCGAGAUCACACCAUUGCACUUUAGCCUGGGUGACAGAGUGAGACUCCACCUCAAAAAAAAAAAAAGGAAAAUUGACAAUUGGGGCCUAAUUAAACUAAAGAGCUUCUGCACAGAAAAAGAAACUAUCAACAGAGUAAACAGACAACCUACAGAAUUGGAGAAAUAUUUGCAGAUUAUGCAUCCAACAAUGGUCUACUAUCUAGGAUCUGCAAAGAACUUAAACAAAUUAACAAGCAAAAAACAACCCCAUUGAAAAGUGGGCAAAGCCGUUAACAGACGUUUCUCAAAAAGCCGUUAACAGACAUACAAGCAUCCAACAAACGUAUGAACAAAUGCUCACCGUCACAAAUCAUGAGUGAAAUGCAAAUCAAAACCACAAUGGGAUACCACCUCACACCAGUCGGAAUGGCUAUUACUAAAAAGUCAAAGAAUAACAUGUGUUGGUGAGGCUAUAAAGGAAAGGAAACACAUACACUGUUGGUGGGGAUGUAGAUUGGUUCAGCCAGCAUGGAAAGCAGUUUGAACAUCUCUCAAAGUACUAAAAAUGGUGCUACCAUUUGACCCAGCAGUCCCAUUACUGAGUAUAUACCCCAAGGAAAAUAAAUCGUUCUACCAAAAAGACACAUAUACUCAAAUGUUCAUUGCAGCACUAUUCACAACAGCAAAGACAUGGAAUCAGCCUCGAUGCUCAUCAGUAGUGAACUGGAUAAAGAAAAUGUGGUACAUAUGCACCAUGGAAUACUAUGCAGCCAUAAAAAGAAUGAAAUCUUGUCCCUCCCAGCAACAUGGAUGCAGCUGGAGGCCAUAAUCCUAAGCAAAUUAAUGCAGGAAUAGAAAACCAAAUAAAGCAUGUUCUUACUUAUACGUGAGAGCUAAACAUUGGGUACACAUGGACGUAAAGAUGGAAAUAAUAGACCCUCAGGACUACCAGAGCAAGGAAGGAGGGAGAAGGGCCAGGGUUGAAAAGUACCCAUUGGGUACUAUGCUCAGUACCUGGAUGACCAGAUCAAUUGUACCCCAAACCUCAACAACAAGCAAUAUACUCAUGUAACCAACCUGUAACCAACCUGCACAUAUACCCCCUGAAUCUAAAAUAUAAAUUAAAUUUUUCUAAAAAGGGAAAAAGAAAAAAGUCAUGUUCUGCCCAUUGGUCAGCAGCAAUAAGUCAUAUCUCCCAGGUUUAUGCUCCCAAACCACACAAUCUUAAUCAAAUGUUUCAUCAUAAUCCCUGAUUUCUGGUAAAUUGAGUUCCCCACUCUUUGUUUUUUCUUUUUAAGAUAUAUAUUUUUUCUUGUCCUUUUGUUUCUCCAUAUACAUUUUAGAAUCAGUUUAUUUUGUUCAACAAACAAACAGACAAAAUCUGCCAGGAUUUGGAUUGGAAUUGAUUGAUAGAUCCAUUUGUUAAAAAUUAGCCUUAUUAUAAUUUUGAGUCAUCCUAUUUCUGAACAUGAGAUAUCUAUUUUGGGGAGAGAGGAGUCUUUAAAGUUUUCAAAUAAAGUUUUAAGAUUUUUCUAUAAAGUACCAAAGUAGCUGGAUUUAUUCUUAGGAAAUUUAUAUUUUGAUACUAUUAUAAUAGUAUCUUUUAAAACUAAAUUUCCCAAUGUAUAGAAGAAAUACAAUUUAUAUUUAAAUCCAAACAACUCUGAGGAACCCAAAUUACCCAGGCCAUUCACUUUCUUAAUAAUUGUAAUACUUUUUCUGUAAAUUCUGGGAUAUUUUGAUAUAGACCAUCGUACAGUCAGCUAAUAAUGUUAAUUUUAUUUCUUCCCUUCUAAUUCUUUUCUUUCUUUCUUACCUUACUGUGCUGUAUCCACUUCCAGUUCCACACUUAAUAGAAAUUAAUGUGGGUACUUUUUGAUGUUCUUCAUCUUAAAGGGACUAUUUCUAACAUAUCACAUUAAGUAUAAUGUUUAAUUUAUUCUGAGAGUCACAUUUUUCCCAUCUUCUCUAACAUCAUUUUGCUAAAAAUCUGAAUGUUACCCAACACUUUUUAAUGAAAUUAUUGGGAUCAUCAUGUUAUUUUUCUGUUUUGAUCUGCUAAUAUGAUAAAAUAUAUUAAUAGAUUGUCCUAUGUUAAACUACCUUCGCACAUCUGAGAUAAACGCAACAUGGUCAUCAUUUAUGUUCUUUGCUGUAUUCAGUUUGCUAAUAUAUUUAAGAUUUUUACAUCUAUUAUGUAUUAAUUAGGCUAGAAACUAAGCUGCUAUAACAAACAAAACCAACAUAUAUAGCACACAUAAGACAGACAUUUACUUUUCUCUCUGGCACAGGUAAUAGUCUGGAAUAGGGGAGUGGUUUGUGGCUGGUAGAGUUGCCUUGUGUAUUCAGUACUUAGCUUCCAAGUCAUCAUUAUUUCUCUGCCAGUUCAAAGAAGGGCAGAGAGUCCUGAACAGUCUUCAUAAAAAGACGACCAGGAAAUUGCCCUCCCCCUACCCAUUCAUAUCUCAUUCACCCAAAGCUAACUCCAUGGCUACAGAUACCUGAAAGUCAAACAGAAAAAUAUUUUCUGUGGCGUGGUGUCCAUGAACCCAGGUUGUAUGAAGUUCUGUGUGAAUGCCCAUCACUAAAAGAAACAAAGGGCAACUUAAAGGUGGGAGAUAGUUAACAGUUUCCAACACAUAUGGUCAUGAGAAAGACUGAACUCUAAUUUUGUUUGUUGUACUAUCCUCAACUUGGGUUUUGACAUGAAGAUCAUAUUAGCUUCCACCCCACCCCCCACCAAAAAAAAUUAGUUUGAUAAAUAUUCCAUCUCUUCCUACCCUUUGGUAUAAUGUGGGUGACUUUGUAACUUUAAAACAAAUGCGGUAGGACUUAUGAGUAAUAAGUACUACCUGGUGUUUUCUUUAUUUAAUGAUUCUGAAUGCUCACUAGAUACGAUAAUAUAAGCCCUUCUAUUUAUUCUUGAGUCAGUUUUGGGGGAUAUUGAAUAUGUUUUGAUAUUCAACAUCAUCAUUAUAAUUUUGUUUAAAUAUUCUCUAAAUGUUAUCACAAUUUCUUCUGUAACCCUUGAUGUUCUUUUUAGAAGAAGAACAUUUCCAUAAAUGCAAAAUUCAAAAUACCAUCUGUAGUAUGCUACCUCUUGUAUAAGAAGAGGAAAUUAGAAAACCAGUCAGGUAUCUGCUUUUAAUUUCAAAAACAACACAGGAAAGAUAAAUCAUCAAUGUUUUACUUCAAAGAAGUUUGUCACCUACAAGUGGUAAUGAGAAGCAGAGUGGAAAAAAUUUGGAGAGAAGUGACAUUUCUCUUAAUAUAGCUUUCUUGGUACAGUUUUUACUUUUGGAGGCAUGUUAAUGUUUUAUAUACUCAAAAGAAUAAAAUCAACUAGGUUGGGAAGGGAGGAAAAAAUAAAGUUAAAAGCAAAUAGAAACAAAUUAACCUAAUUUAUUUCAAAUGAAUACUAUAACCACACUGAAAGAAAAUUUAAAAGAACUAAGUAACUCACGAAAACAGUAUAUGACUGUAUAUUGUCUGUCUAGGGAAAAGUCGUGGCACAAGAGCUUCAAACAAAUCUGUCAUUCUUUUUAGUUUAUUUUGUUUUCUAUGGUGGCAUACAUAAAGCAAUUGUGAAACAAUUUAUGUUAUGGGAUCCAACAGGCAAGUAAGUGUGUCAAUUUUGUUGGGAGCCAGGUUUGUCAUUAUGAAAGAAGGGACAUACAAAUAUGUAAUGAGGGUGAACAAGAAAGAACCCUGUGAGGCCAGAUGCAGUGGCUCACGCCUAUAAUCCUAGCAUUUUGAGAGGCCAAAGCGGGCAGAUUGCUUGAGCUCAGGAGUUUGAGACUAACCCCAGCAACAUAGUGAAAACUCAUCUCUACUAAAAAUACAAAACCUAGCCAGGCGUGGUGAUGUGCACCUGUAGUGCCAGUAACUUAUGGGGCUGAGACAGGAGGAUUGCUUGAACCCAGGAGGUCAAGGCUGCAGUGAGCCAAGAUCACACCGCUGCACUCCAGCCUGCAUGACAGAGUGAGACCCUGUCUCAAAAAAAGAAAGAACCCUGUGGGAUGGAUUGGAAUGUAGCAAUCAGUGUAAAUUCAUAAUUUCUACAAUAAGCAUACUUGUGUAGGUAAUGCAUGUAAUAUGAGCGUAUGCAUACAUGUCUGUGUCCACAUAGGUAUAUAUUUGCCUGUGUGUAUAUAUACGCAGAUAUUUUCUAGCUCUAUUCAAUAAAAAGGCCUAGAAACAAAGGCAUCCCAGUAACUAUGAACACACCUAGCACUCUAAUCUUAGAUUCUAAUGCUGUGCCUCACUAAAAGAAACCAUGGCUCUGUUGAACAAGGACUCACUACAUUACUUUAAGAAGUAAACUCUGGGAAAAGAAAAACUUUUGACAAAUUAAACUUAACAGAAUUUAUUUGAGCAAAAAAUGAUUCAUGAACCAGGCAGCACUCAGAAUCAGAAGAGGUUCAAAGAGCUCCACCCAGGAGCAUGAGAAGUGAGCUUCCAUAGGCUGAACAUGGAAGCCAAGUAGAGAACACAUCUGAUUUGUUACAGCAAGGUGUUUGCCUUAUUUGGAUAUGGUCUGAUGAGUUGGCUGUCUGUGAUUGGCUAAAGCACUGCUGCUUAUGAUUGGCUGAGACCUGUUUUUUUUUUUUUACAUAAGUUAGACUCCUAAGUUAGAUUCCAGUUUGUUUCAGUACUACCUUAGGUUGCAGUUUCUCUUUAUUCUUUUUUUUUUUUUUUUUUUUUUUUUUGAGACCAAGUCUAGCUCUGUCACCCAGGCUGGAGUGCAGUGGCGCAAUCUCGGCUCACUGCAACCUCUGCCUCCUGGUUCACAUGGUUCUCCUGCCUCAGCCUCCUGAGUAGCUGGGAUUACAGGUGCGUGCCACCACGCCCAGCUAAUUUUUGUAUUUUUAGUAGAGACGGGGUUUUACCAUGUUGGUCAGGCUGAUCUUGAAUUCCUGACCUCGUGAUCUGCCUGCCUCGGCCUCCCAAAGUGCUGGGAUUACAGGCCUGAGCCACCAUGCCCGGCCAGAUUGCAGUUUCUUAUACAGAAACUUAAAGUAUGGAGACAGUCUUGGGCCAGUGGCCUCCUGCUUAUUUAACAACUCUCAGUCAUGUUUUUAUUUGCAGGUUAUUUGAUUCGUCACUCCCCAACUCCAUUGUUUUUAGAAUAUUAUCUUUGUCUUUGGUAUUGUGCAAUUUUCUAUCAUGUAUUUAGGUUUAACUGUAUUUAUUUAUACUACUUAGUAUAAAUAGCACAAAAUGGUAUAUAAAUGUUACAAAUACAUAUUUAGUGUAAAAUGAGGAAAUUAGUAAUUAAUUCUUCAAAUGUUGCUUCUGCCCCAUUUUUUCUUCUCUUUCUGGAUUGCCAGUAUGAUACGCUUUUUACCUUCUCUGUUAUCUGUUACUUGUUUUUUAGAUUUCUCUUCUCUUUGUCUCCAUUUUAUUCUGGAUAAUUUCUACAGUUCUAGUUUCAAAUUCAUUAAUUCUCUCUAAGCUACGUAUAAAAACUCUUAUUAACUGAAUUUUUACUUCCAAAGACACUUUCUACAGUAUCUUGUAGUUCUAUUUGUUUGCUUCUUUUUCAAAUAUUUGCUCUUUUUUUAAAAAAGUCUCUUGAUCUUUUUAUUCAUGUCUUCAAACUUGCUGGGAGUUUUUUUUACCUAUUAAACAUAAUUAUUUUACAUUCUGUGCUUGACAAUUCUAAUACCUGAAAACUUGCAGAUCUUAUUUUACCCUGUUUUCUUACCUAAUGCUUGUGCUCUUGCUGUGGUUUUGUGAUUUUUUUCAUUCAGUCUCAUGAGGGGAGUGUAAUUUCUGGUUCGCCCUACAGUAUGCAGGUAGACAAUUCAGAUGCCUCCUAUUGCAGGAUCUCAUAUGGGAGAUCUUGGAUGAACUCUGGCUUUCUUUGUCUUCUGCUCUGUACAUUUCAUUAAUUUGUGAAAAUGGAUGCUAAGUUUCAUUCUGAUGGUAAAUUCCCUUGAAACCAAGGUCAUCUUUAGUGCUUGGCUUACCUUUUUGGGUUCUUGCUUUAACUUGGUUUUGACCUUUCAGUCAUAAAGUAUUUUUAGGAUUUUAUUUUGAAUUUUUAGUUGUUUUCAACAGGAGGGUUAGUCAAGAUAUCUGGCCCACCAUACAGUUGGAAAGAAAUUUUACAAGUCACCUGUAUAUAUUUUAGUCAACCUUAUAUAUUUAUGGUUUAUACAUUAUUUUAUUUUAAAAAAACUUAAAAUGUACAGAUAAAAUACCACCUUACCUAACAUGUUCAUGUCACAUUGAAGAAAGAGUAGCAAUAUCAGGGCCAGAUCUCACUUCUCCCAACCCCUGCUUUAACGUCUUUCUACAACCAAGGAGUUGGCAAUAAGAAGGGGUUAGGAGGGAGGUGUUAAUCCAGGGCCUGAGAUUUAAUGCCAUUGUAAGUGGAGAUUGUGAACAUAAUGCUCCUGGGCAUGUGGACACACCUUCUGUCCCUGUGCAACUUCUGCUGCCUUGAAACUCUCAGACCCAAUUUUCAUUCUAGGUGCUUUCUUAAGACAAACCCUCAGUCUGGGAAAUUCACCAAAACUCGGUUUCACGUACAAACAUACACUUGAUUUCCACCAAUGAUAAUAUUUGGUUAGACUCACUUUUACAUUAAAUAUGUAUAUCUCUAGCAUGAAACAAUGUAAAUCAUAAUUAAAUAAUAUUUUCUGAUGAUUCUGUGUGCAUCAUUGUCUUUAACAAAUGUGUAUUACCCAUUGAAUGGUUGUGUCAUAGUUUGACCAGCAUUUUGUUUUUAGUACAUUCAUGUUGCUUCCAGCUCUUUUCCCUUACAAACUGAGCCUCUGUGAAUGCCUCUGUACUUCAUCUUUACUUAGUAUCUUUAAUUAUUUGCUCAGGAUAAAUUCUCAGAAUUUAAAUUGUGAGGUCAUAGGGCAUGCGUAUUUUUAAGGCUUGAUAGGUCCUACCCACAUGGCUCUCUGAGGAGCUGUGCGAGUUUACCUUCGACGAUGGCCCACAGAAACGUAGUGAUGGUGGCUGGCUUUUUAAAGGUGAUGUAUUCAGAGCUGAUCCUUUGAUUAAUUUCUAACAAAAAAUUUUCACAAGAUUUUUUUGUCUGGCUCUUUCCCUAGUCUAAAAUUUAUGAAAGGUAUGGUAUAGCACUCUCAGUAUUAUGCCUGCUUAAAGAUCUUACAAAAUAUCCAGGCUUCCCUUUUCCUUUCACUUUAUAAAAAUUUAGUAUCUGAGAGUUACUGCAGUUUCUCAAAUUACAGACACAUCUUUGCUUUGACAAAACCCUAACCGUCACAUGCUGACUAGCAGUCUGUGGUAUUUUCAUAAUUAAUUUGAACUAAAUAGCCGUGUCACAGUAAAUGCACAGACUAUUUUCCUAUUGUUAUCUCCUCGACUUAUCGUUUGUCCACAGAUCCACUGGUGUUAAUUCAUAGUGAGAACCCUGUCACUAAUGUGCUCUAGCAAAAGUAUAGCUUUUCCGACACUAAUUCUGCUUGGAUCUGGUCACGUGAGAAUCCAGGGAUAUGAUUUCUAGCAGAUAACAUUGAAAUAUUGAUCUUAUAAAGUAAACUGGAGGCUGGCCACACAGCAUGGUUUUAAAUUUGUUUCCCCUUAAUAGGAGACAGGUUUUUUGUUCAUUAGAUCUCUUGCUGUCCUAGGGUUAGACCCCACUGCCUAGCUCCUCCUGCUGUUGUGAUUAUGCUGUGUAAAAUGACAUUUCUACAUAAAGAGCUUUUGGCUGGGGGCAGCAUACCAGCUAGUGUAGAUUUGAAAUGGCUAUUUCUUUCUCACCAUGAAUGGAAAGAUAUUUUAAGCAUAUGUAACUCCUGCACGAGCUAACAUCUGUCAAUUGCACCAUGUACAACUUCAUCAGCUGGGAAUUAAAACCCAUUCAUAAUACUCCUGUUUGCAAACUUCUGUCUUUGAGGUUAUUGAGGCUGUACAUUCUACUGCAAAAGAAGAAAGGGCUAGGAUGCCAAAGAGAGCCUCAAAUUUUAAAGUUAAUAGUUGAAAAUUGCAUGGGGGUGGGAAUUGCAUGAAAGCCAGUUUUCUGAGUAGAAGUUGGGAAACUUGGAUGUGGAACCUGUUCAAAUCAUUCCUGAUCUUAUCAAAGCUUAUCUUUUCUUAAACAUUGGAAGGAUUUUUUGGGUGGUUUAUGUUGUUUAUUUGGUUACAAUGAGGACCUUUCAUAAAGAUUUUAUGUUGACUUUCCUUGUGGAUUUCAGCCUAACAAUAUCGAAAAUAUUAAAUUUAGAGGGGAUCGAUCUCAUAAAAACUGAGUCAGAAAAAGGAGGCCAAUUAUUACUCUUAAUUUGGUAUGAAAUUGUAACCAGACUCAUAAAUAUCUAUGUGACCUAUAAAAAAGAAGCAUAAAAAGGAACAAAAUAAUGGCAUUCGCAGCAAGCUGGAGUUGGAGACCAUUUUUUGUUUGUUUGUUUGUUUGAGACGGAGUCUCGCUUUGUUGCCUGGGCUGGAGUACAAUGGCAUGAUCUUGGCUCAUUGCAACCUCUGCCUCCUAGGUUCAAGCAAUUCUUCUGCCUCAGCCUCCCGAGUAGCUGGGACUACAGGCGAGCACCACCACGCCUGGGUAAUUUUUGUA